rnacentral:rRNA from 1 species
AUUGAACGCUGGCGGAAUGCUUUACACAUGCAAGUCGAACGGCAGCAUAGGUGCUUGCACCUGAUGGCGAGUGGCGAACGGGUGAGUAAUACAUCGGAACGUGCCCAGUCGUGGGGGAUAACGUAGCGAAAGUUACGCUAAUACCGCAUACGAUCUAAGGAUGAAAGCGGGGGACCGUAAGGCCUCGCGCGAUUGGAGCGGCCGAUGUCAGAUUAGGUAGUUGGUGAGGGAAAGGCUCACCAAGCCGACGAUCUGUAGCUGGUCUGAGAGGACGACCAGCCACACUGGGACUGGUAGCCGGCCCAGACUCCGACGGGCGGCAGCAAUGGGGAAUUUUGGACAAUGGACGCAAGUCUGAUCCAGCCAUUCCGCGUGCAGGACGAAGGCCUUCGGGUUGUAAACUGCUUUUGUACGGAACGAAAAAGCUCUUACUAAUACUAGGAGUCCAUGACGGUACCGUAAGAAUAAGCACCGGCUAACUACGUGCCAGCCGCCGCGGUAA